AGUGGUCCCUACCAGACCUUUGGGUCUCUGUUUUAGCUGACUCCAUGCUCCUUCUCCUAGAUUAAGGAAUCAUCUCAGCAGCGGGUACAUUUUCAAACAGCAUAUUAGCUUCACAUCUGAAUUACAUGAGUCACCGUGCAUUGGCAUCACAAAAGCCUUAUUCAAGGUAAUGGCUUAUUCAGUGAAACUCUUGAAAUAUAUUCCUUUUUGGUUUUUUUUUCCUUGCUAUACUGUG
rnacentral:lncRNA from 1 species